UUAAAAGCAGUAUAUGAAUAUUUCAACUUUGGAAGUUGAGGAUUAGUAGUAAUACUACUUUUAAA
rnacentral:tRNA from 1 species